rnacentral:lncRNA from 1 species
AGGACCGAGAAGAAAAGAAAAAGGGGGAGGGGGGUGAGGGGCGUAGGGCAGGAUGAAGGAAAAAAAGCCGGGAGAGGGAGAAAAGAAAUCUUCCUUUUGCAAAAGGGGGCAUAAUGUGGCUCAGAGGUUGCCAAAGCAAAAGGUUUUGCUUUAUUUUGUUUUUUGCAACCGAGGCGUUCGGGGUGGGGCUGGCUCGAGGGAAGGGUGGAUGGGGAGAAGGUCACUGUGUUACCGCAUGGCGAGAUUUAUUUAUUCCUUUGGAUCAUUUCGGUUUCUCACCGGAUGGCUUUGAUCCUGGACUCCUAAAAAUAUUUUUGAAAGACCACCCACCCCACCCCCGCAUCGUCCUACUGACUAACUCCUCGGAACUCUCGAGGUUGCGCAUAAACCAUUAGAUUUUUUUUUCUAGAACAGCCCCAUUCUCUGCCCUGGGGGAGCCGGGAGAAUGUGCAGCUUCAGUCCUCCAGCUCGGCGGAGCCUCCCGUGCAGAGCCUAGCGCGAUUCGCGCUAUCAUUACCCCUACAAAGCGCGGGCCAGACCAAGCCCCUUUCUAAUGCACCAUUUUCGACUGAGAACAUUUUGGCAAGAAACUUCCAAGUCAGCCUGCAAAUGCAGACGCCUCCUGGGUCCUGGCUUUAUCUCCAGGGAAAGUUCCAUUUUAAGAACCAGAUGCCAACAUUCCCGGACAGUUUAUGGCAUCCGGAUCCCUCAAGGGUGCUCAUCUGCAGUUGAGAGCCUAGUAAAUGGCAUUAACAAAGCGUUUCACGGACUACAACGGCUUAACAGUGGCUCCUCCCCUGCCCUGCGACCAUCCGGGCCGUCAUUCCUUCCAGGAUUCCCGCGCGGUUCUGUGUGCCCAGAGCGCGAGCGCCAGGAUUUUGGGUGA